rnacentral:rRNA from 1 species
UACGUAGGGGGCAAGCGUUGUCCGGAAUCAUUGGGCGUAAAGCGCGCGUAGGCGGCCCGGUAAGUCCGCUGUGAAAGUCCAGGGCUCAACCCUGGAAUGCCGGUGGAUACUGUCGGGCUCGAGUCCGGAAGAGGCGAGUGGAAUUCCUGGUGUAGCGGUGAAAUGCGCAGAUAUCGGGAGGAACACCUGCGGUGCAGACGGCUUACUGGACCGUAACUGACGCUGAGGCACGAAAGCGUGGGGAGCAAACGGG